rnacentral:RNase_P_RNA from 1 species
GGUAAUCGCGCAUGAUGAAUGUGAGGAAAGUCCGGGCAUCAUAGAGUAGGAUGCAAGUUAAUGGCUUGAUACAGUAAUGUAUGGAAAGUGCAACAGAGAAUAAACUUCCCGAUUUUUUUAUUUAACUAACCUCCUUUUAUUUUAUUUAUUGUCGGGUAAAGGUGAAAAGGCAGUGUAAGAGACUACCGCCUGGUCGGUGACGGCGCAGGGCAUGGCAAACCCCAUCUGAUGCAAGUUCAAAAAGAGAUGACAGUUACUCGCUGGUUUUAAGUCUCGGGUAGAACGCUAGAAUUUUUCAGUGAUGAAAAAUCAAAAGAUAGAUGAUUACGAAGAUACAGAACUCGGCUUAUUAACGUGCU